AACGAACGCUGGCGGCAUGCCUAACACAUGCAAGUCGAACGAGACCUUCGGGUCUAGUGGCGCACGGGUGCGUAACGCGUGGGAAUCUGCCCUAGGGUGCGGAAUAACUCGGAGAAAUCCGUGCUAAUACCGCAUAAUGUCUUCGGACCAAAGAUUUAUCGCCCUGGGAUGAGCCCGCGUAAGAUUAGCUAGUUGGUGGGGUAAAGGCCUACCAAGGCGACGAUCCUUAGCUGGUCUGAGAGGAUGAUCAGCCACACUGGGACUGAGACACGGCCCAGACUCCUACGGGAGGCAGCAGUGGGGAAUAUUGGACAAUGGGCGAAAGCCUGAUCCAGCAAUGCCGCGUGAGUGAUGAAGGCCCUAGGGUUGUAAAGCUCUUUUACCCGGGAUGAUAGUGACAGUACCGGGAGAAUAAGCUCCGGCUAACUCCGUGCCAGCCGCCGCCGUAA
rnacentral:rRNA from 1 species